UGACAUGUGGAAAGGUCUGCUCCUCAUUCCUUUAGGAGCAGGAAUACAUCUAUAACAUGCUACACUAUAAAAAGGGGUUUUCAGGACUGACAACUUUACAGUAGAGUUUGAGUGGUAGUAUAUUUCUCCUACAUUA
rnacentral:snoRNA from 12 species